rnacentral:lncRNA from 1 species
AGUACGAACAAAAGUAUAAGUUCAAGUUCAAGUGCAAGUUCAAGUUCAAAUUCAAGGGUCAUGAGUACGAGUAAGAACACACUGGCCUAACCUCUGUCCAGCAAUUCACAUUCUUAAACAGUCACAAAAUUCAAGUCCACAUUCCAUAUAUUCAGUCAAAUUAGGUCCAUUGAGGAUACGCAAGAGCACACUAGCCUAAACAGGUUCAAGUCUCAAGUAAGCUCAGUCUAAUCGGUUUCAGGUAGUUCGAGUUCUCUUACCAACCCACUGCAAUACUUUCGGAGUUCAAACUUCCUAAGAUUGAAAUACUGGCACAGAACCAAUCAUAACAGAUGUUGCGCACAAGAAAAGCUCACCAAGUUUCUAGCUAGGUUAAUCCAUUAUACACUAGUAGAUCGGAUCUUCGGGUUUAUGUUCGAUUCAUAUUCGGUACUAGGGACCUAUUAAAUUAUAUGAAACUGUCUAUCAAUUUGUCUCACAAGUACAGGGUUGUCUAAGCCCUCGGUCACGGUCCCCUUUUCUCGUUCCU